GAUGAACGCUAGCUACAGGCUUAACACAUGCAAGUCGAGGGGCAGCAUGAACUUAGCUUGCUAAGUUUGAUGGCGACCGGCGCACGGGUGAGUAACACGUAUCCAACCUUCCGUUUACUCAGGGAUAGCCUUUCGAAAGAAAGAUUAAUACCUGAUAGUAUGGUGAGAUUGCAUGAUAACACCAUUAAAGAUUUAUUGGUAAACGAUGGGGAUGCGUUCCAUUAGGUAGUAGGCGGGGUAACGGCCCACCUAGCCUGCGAUGGAUAGGGGUUCUGAGAGGAAGGUCCCCCCACAUUGGAACUGAGACACGGUCCAAACUCCUACGGGAGGCAGCAGUGAGG
rnacentral:rRNA from 1 species